GUUGGGUAGGGGAGCGUUCUGUAAGCCUGCGAAGGUGUACUGUGAGGUAUGCUGGAGGUAUCAGAAGUGCGAAUGCUGACAUAAGUAACGAUAAUGCGGGUGAAAAACCCGCACGCCGGAAGACCAAGGGUUCCUGUCCAACGUUAAUCGGGGCAGGGUGAGUCGACCCCUAAGGCGAGGCUGAAAAGCGUAGUCGAUGGGAAACGGGUUAAUAUUCCCGUACUGGUGGUAACUGCGAUGGGGGAACGGAGAAGGCUAGGUUGUCCGGGCGACGGUCGUCCCGGUUCAAGCAGGUAGGCAGAGUGAUUAGGCAAAUCCGGUCACUUAAUGCUGAGAUGUGAUGACGAACCACCAAGGUGGUGAAGCAAUUGAUGCCCCGCUUCCAGGAAAAGCCUCUAAGCUUCAGGUUACCAACAAUCGUACCCCAAACCGACACAGGUGGUCAGGUAGAGAAUACUCAGGCGCUUGAGAGAACUCGGGUGAAGGAACUAGGCAAAAUGGUGCCGUAACUUCGGGAGAAGGCACGCUGGCGGUAGGUAAAGUCCCUCGCGGACGGCGCUGAAGCCAGUCGAAGAUACCAGCUGGCUGCAACUGUUUAUUAAAAACACAGCACUGUGCAAACACGAAAGUGGACGUAUACGGUGUGACGCCUGCCCGGUGCUGGAAGGUUAAUUGAUGGGGUCAGCCG
rnacentral:rRNA from 1 species